GUCAAAUCGGAAGAAGUUAACAGCGUUCCUCGGGCUAGCGGAUUUUUGUUUCAACAAUGUUCUUUUAAGCAAACAUGUUGUAAUAAACUGGCAGUACUGCGACAAAUUAUUUGAUCUUUUGCAAGGUUUGCACUACUUUGGCAAGUAACAAGAGUGAAAAGUCGUUAUAAUUAAAAUCUACGGCACAUUAAGGCAUGGAACAACUUCAAACUUUACUUGACAUCACAACAGCUUAUUCUUCCAAUUUGUAAUUAAUUUUGAUUACGUGUCACAGCUGCAAUACUAUUCUUAUCUUGAAGCAAUACCAAACGCACAAAAGCCAAAUUCAGUAAAAGCGAUUGGCCUAGAAACUCACGUUGAUAGCGUCCUGAGCGCGAAAACAUUUCCCGAAGCGCUACAGGAAAAUAUACAUUGCCUUGAGGAGGUAAUGAUUGGUCUUUGGCAAGUCCUUUUACCUCAUCCUCGAACAAAUCGUUUACAUUGUUAUGUGUGCGCAUCAUAUGCAACAUAGUUUCUUCAGAAGAAACACGUUCCGUACCAAUCAGUUGACUGAACAGACGUGCAGUGAGGAAGCGACCUUCGACAAAUUUCCCACGUGCGCAUAAUGUAUACGCCAUAAUAGCCGAUACUUGAGACUUUUGUAUGCUGAUGUUUUGCUGAUCCACGCUACCCGGAUUACUACUGACCUGUGCCAUUUGCGGAUUUUCGAAAAGAUAGCAAUCGGCUUUCGGUAUAAGGUAAUCAAUAUACAACAGGCGUUGUACCAAAUCACACAAAUGCAGUUUUUUCUCGGUUAUUUCAUGAUGCUCCCAAUGCGUCAAGUUACAAGGUUCAUUUGAGCAUUCUGUUGUAGGCAGUUCUAAACGUGCCCAUGUUACACUGGACACUCCGAUACGUAUUGAAACACAGGAACGUAUUUCUGAACGAUGUUCAGCAUCAAUUGCUGGUGUGAUGAAGCCUGCGGUACGUUGCCGCGCUGAGCGUGAGGCUAUUUAGUGUAUAAGUUUCAGAAGUAAACCUAUUGGGACAGAAUAUAAGAAGUGUUUACUAACCACUA